AGUGAACGCUGGCGGCGUGCCUAAUACAUGCAAGUCGAACGCGAAAGUCCUUCGGGAUGAGUAAAGUGGCGCACGGGUGAGUAAUGCAUGAGAACAUGCCCUUAGAUGGGGAAUAACGUUUGGAAACGAACGCUAAUACCGCAUAACCUCGAGAGAGUAAAGGUGGCGCCGCAAGGGCUACCGUCUAAGGAUUGGCUCAUGUCCCAUUAGCUAGUUGGCGGGGUAAUGGCCCACCAAGGCAACGAUGGGUAUGUGGUCUGAGAGGAUGAUCACACACACUGGAACUGAGACACGGUCCAGACUCCUACGGGAGGCAGCAGUAGGGAAUAUUGCACAAUGGGGGAAACCCUGAUGCAGCAACGCCGCGUGAGUGAAGAAGGCCCUUGGGUCGUAAAGCUCUUUAGCGAGGGAAGAGGGUAGAUACGGUGAAUAAUCGUGUUUGCUGACGGUACCUCGAGAAUAAGCACCGGCUAAUUUCGUGCCAGCAGCAGCCGCGG
rnacentral:rRNA from 1 species